GUCAGAAUGGCUGAGUGUUCUAAGGUGCUGUCUUCAGGUUGAAGUCUCUUCUGGAGGUGUGGGUUUGAAUCCCACAUUUGACA